rnacentral:misc_RNA from 1 species
CUGAGUUUUCUACUCUACACCCUGUAAACCUACCACUACGGCUUCGGUGGCCUGCCCCGGGGGGCGCUAUAAAGGGCUGCCGAUAGCAUAAAAAUCUCUGUCUAAAAGACUUUCUGAGUGGACAAAGAAAACAAGUCA